GUUGCUCGUCAUCCAUCUCAGCGAUUUGUAGUGCACAUGUAUAUUGGUCUGAGAUAGCAACUGUGUGGGAUCCAGGCUAGCGCGCGACCGCAAGCUCUAGAGGUGAGCUACCGCAAAAAUCCCAACUUCAAGCCUAUUCCUUUAGAUUGGGAGCUGAUUCCCAUUUGAUACUCAUUAUUGCUUCAUUGUACAUCUAUUCCUUUCAAGCAUUUUCUGUUGACCUGGUUAGCCGUGAAGAAUUUGGAAUUCUUGUAGUACCCAUGCCAACUGUUUUGGGGAUCUGCAUAGAUUUGAUUGAUUCUAUCCAGUUUAGGUACUAGCAGGAUUGUUCCAACUUGUUGACAAUAUUACUUGUCCACCGAGCCAUACUACUCUGAUGCAUUGCUAAUUAGCCACUUAUCAUGAAUUUUGUUCUCAUAUAUCAUAGGUAGAAAAUUAUGUCAAUCAUUGUUGUGUUACUAAAAAAAACUCGGCCGGGUGGGGAAAGACCGUCCCACCGGUAUUAGCUUAAGAAGAAGCCUCGGCUUCCCCGAUCGAGAAAAUCCCCGAACCCUGGCCCCGCCCUGACACUGGGAGACGUAAUCCUUGGGAACUACCUGCCUGGGCCAUGUAAGGGUCCUCAGGCCGACCUGGGUCGUCUCACAACCAAUGCUUUGGCACACGGGGCCAGCGAGGGGAUUUUUUUACCCUCAGCCUGAAAUUCGCUCACACGGGGAGUCGAACUUAGGACCUGAGGGGUGCCGCCGGAGUGACUAACCAACUGGGCUAGCAUCCUUUGGCAUCAUUGUUGUGUUACUGUAAUAUAAGAGAUAAAUUAUGUGGUGCAUUUGUUCUAGUGAGCUUAUUUCUGCCUAUUGAACGUCUCCGUUCUUGAUUACUAUAGCCUCAGUUUGAAAAAAAAGAAGCAAUGCUCAUCAUUCUGCUCACCAUAUUAUUUUUCAUAUUAGACAUAUAUUUCUCUGAACACAGGUUUGUUUGGACAAACUGCAAUGCGCCAAUCUGAAAACCUUACUGUGUCUGAAGUCACUUAUUAGGCUUUUCUCAUCAUUAAAAUUUAUAGAUUUCAGAGCUAUCUUUUGUAGAUUUCAGUUUGGUGCUGUGAGAGCUACUCCAAUCCAAUCUUGUUGACAUUUGAACCAAUCCAGGACUUGCCACCGAUGCGCAGAGGAAGGAGAUGAAUGUGGAAGGCCACCAGGGAGACUGCCAAGCACAACGACAUGGGUUAUGCAGAGGUGACUAGUUUGACCUUACAUGUUUUUUAUUUCAUAUCAACAGCUCCUGAAAACAUUUCUUAUUUGAAUGUGUUCCGGCACUUCUAUAGUUUGAUGUGCUUAGUCCCCUCACAUAUAUCACAAUUCUUCUGGAUAGUUGCAGUAGGUAUCUCUAUCUGAAUUGUGUGCACUGUCAUAGCCGUGGGCUAGUAGCCGAGUAAUCUGUAGUGGUCAGCUCAUCAGUCAUGCUUGUAUACUGUGAAGAAGGCUGGCCGCAAGGACUGCUUGCUGGAGUUGCUUUGCCGGAGGUCGCAUGUUCUGGGGCUUGGAGAUGUUUGCUUCCCCGAAAUCGCACGCAAAGGAGUGUUGUAGCCUAGAGGAAUUCCUUGCUUGCCGGAGAUGGCGGGAGUAACAUGCGGCAUGUAUAGCUGGAUGAUUAAAUUUAGAGUAGAGGGAUAGAGCGGGUUUGGUAUACCAAAUAUUAAUGGAUCAAUCACGCAUGAAUGGAAAAAUGUAGGUUUUGGAUCAAAUGCUGAUUUUUUUAUAUGAAGGCCAAUGAGUGAAAUCAAGAAUCCUAAGGUUUAAAGACUCAGAUUUUAUUUGAACU